GUCAAUGCUGAGAUUUUAAUGCAUCAACAGCCAUUACAUCUGGCUGGAUCAGGAUUGAACAAGAAUCAGACAGCAAGGGUUGUCACAUCAGAAACGUAAUAACACAAACAUAAGAAACUUCACAGGGCUGUGACAGUGACAGUAUUUUACCACCGCGAUGGUAAUGCACCAAUUCACCACUGUGGUGCGGUGGUUAUAGAAUGUGUUUGUGUGAGGGGGGAGGCGGCAAUUUCUUUUUCCGCCGGUGGGUGCUCAUCACAACCUCAAGCUUUACUUCGCAAUGCCAGGUGCUCUAGAGUCUGGAGCGCUCAAAGGCUUUGAAGAGGUGGAAAGUGGCGCAGUCACGUUUUCGUGUGAAUUGUGAAGUUAAAGGCAGAUCACCGUGCAACUUGGUGAAGUCAUGUGUCUUUCCAGAUGGCCAAAUCUGUACCCCUCAAAAAAACUUUAUUAAAUGCCAUGAUAGACAAGAUGAGCCUUAAGAGGAGAUUUGGGAAGAUGCUGUUUCAUAAGUCUUUGCUUUGCCAGAUUAUUUGUGGUUGGGGUGUCUGCCAACAUGAUGCCUUGCUGGUCUGGUUUGAGUUUGAAGUCUCUCACAGACAGUCCAGAAGGUCUGGAGUCCAUCUUAGCUUUCAUUGAUGCUGUCAUCAUUUUUUAAGUGCAUGAGCCAGAAUGGACGGGUGGUGGUGGCCAUAAGAAGACUGUCAACUAAACUAGGGUGACCAUACGUGCCAUUCUUCCCGGACCCGUCCUGUCCAGUCUUUUGGAACUCGUAUUUGUCGACCGCAUACGUCACAGAGGAUUAUUAUUAUUAUUACAGAAAAGCAACCGUUACAUUUUAAGGUAAGAAGAAUGAAACUACGAUUGUAUAUCUUAUGUUUUUAACUGAAUGGCGUAUGCGGUCAACAAAUACGACUUCCGGAAGACGCACCGAAAUCCUGGACGGGAUGCGUCCGGGAAGAAUGGCACGUAUGGUCACCCUAACUAAACCAACAACAAAAUUCAUAUUUGCAGUUAUAAAUAAAAUGACUUUUAAACCUGAUUUUGUUUUCUUAUUUUAUGAUUUCAUUCUAUAUUUGGAAUAUUCCAUUUUUGCACUACUAACUGGAAACUGUUUGAAAGAAUGUGUUUUUAUUAAAAGACAAAUUUCAAAGGUGAAUCAUAUGCCGGCUGGGAUAUCAAAAUAGCAU